UUUGUCAUGAUUUCAGAAAACCACUCUAUAUUUGGGAAGAGAGGAGAUACCGAACAGAUUGCUGUGUCAGGAGACUGUCCCUUAUGUCCCACCCCGCGGACCCCGGUGUGCCAUCACUCCCAGGCAGUCCUGAACGGAGCCAUGAAAAUUGCUUUGAAAUCACAGCAGACAAAGAGGAAACUUUUGGACAUCGUUUAUUUUGGGAUGUUCCAAACCAAAGCUAUCUUCCAAAUCAAAAAAGAAGCCCAGCCCUGCCAAGUCCCUCAUCGCUGAAACGCAGAGAGAGACCACAACACUGAAUGAAAAGAUUUAAACAACUUUCCUACUCUGAAAAAAAGCCUUUUUUUGGAGUUACUGUCAAAAGAAAAUGAGGGAACAACAAAAAACCUUCAUGCAUCAGAGCUGUAUCUAACUGGAGGUGGCGCGAAGAGGCCAAGAGCUUGGAAGGAAACAACGCUACUUUGAAGGGAAGAACUCAAACUUUGUAUCUCAGAAAAUAAAGUCCUACUGGUACAUUUAAAGAAUUUUCCAAGCACGUUAGACCAAGAUUUUUCUUACAGCAUCCACUAUACCGUGCCAUUAUAACAUAACUGUAACAUAAUACCCAAGCACUUACACUGGAAGCACUUACGGACUAAUCUUAAAAACAUUUACCAGGUACACCAGAGCCAGAUUAUUUAUAGCACAGUAGUACCAAAGGGCUCCGCCAGGACGAGCUGCCGUUGUGAGAGACAAAAUGUAAACACGGAGCAGCAAAGUCCCUCACCCGGAGAGAGUGUGUCUGGGCUGGGGCAGGAGGCGUUGCAAAACUCUGCCCAUGUCAUCUAGCAAAUUUAGCUACUGCUGGGACAAAUGCAUGUUGAAAAUACACACGCACCGAAGUCUGGGAGCUUCAGAGUUUAAAUCUAGUCUGAAAUAUGAGGCUGCGAACGUGGAAAAAAAAAAAGAAAGGAAAUUGUACAAUUGGUAAAGAGAGCUGAGGAAAAAAAGCAACUUAGUUUAGGAAAUCUUACGAAACGUUUGUUAUGAAAUAUAAAAUCAUCUGCCCUUGCCCUGAAGUAGCAAUCAGCAGCUGGCAGCACUUUGCCAGCACAGAACAGAAACGGUCCUGACAAGGGGUGUGAAGCAGGGAGGUGCAGAAGGGAAAAAAUGUAAUAAUGGUUUAAGGGAGUCUACAGCGUGCUCGGGAUGCAAAUGUCUGCGGGAGAAUUUCACUGGGGUUACCAAUUGCAACAGCCCAGUUCUCAGUAGGGAGCCCUGUGAGUACAGCCCCAUCUUGUUACUGUCCCUUGAAGCUCACCCUCACUGCAGUGUACACAGUACUGAAGUCCACACAGUGCUAUUCAACAGUGUUUCUUCCCUCAGGAACUGGGAAUUUACUUUUCCAUAGAAAGAGCUAUGCUAUUUUGAGUGUGGAAUGAGGUGUGUGACUGCUCCUGUACAUCCCGCUCUUAAAAAGAGAGGCAAUUGCCCGGAUGCCUUUUCCAUGCAGUGCUGAGCCCGAAAGGGUCUUUGCCAAAAACAACCAGUGAAGCCUCAAUUAUGUGUUAAUGCAACACAGAGAGAACUAUUAAAAUUCCCCAGUUAGGAAUGUCACAGUAGGCCCCCAGAUGGAUGCUAUGAGGUGGCCAGAGCCUGCCACGCUGACAACUAUUGGUGCAGAGGUGCUUUAAGUGAGAUUAAGUGCCAAGCCCUACAGGAGCAGGAAUGGCCUUCAGAGGCCAGCAGAUACAGCCAGACAGCUAGAUUCAUCAGCAGCUCCUCACCUCCUGGUAUCUCCUGGGUCUCUGUUACAGCUGCUGGACAGCCAGGCUCCUGCUAUGUGUCCUCUUUGUACCUGCCUGGACACAAAUUCUAACUACAGCAGGUCAAAACUACAAACCCACAUUUCAAAGUUCGCGACUCUGAAUUUAUACGCCAUUUAAAACACUCUGCCCACUUCACAGAACAAAUGAUUUGUGAAAACUGAUGAUUUAUUUACAAAACAUUCCACGUGCAAAACCGUGCUGACAUCUCAGAGCAAUAGAGUGAAAUAAGCAGUGUGUUAUAAAAUCCCCCACGGAGGCCAGCAGAAGAUAAAGCACGCAGCAGGGGGAUAAAUACCACGGGCAGAAUACCCUGAGCCUCACAACAAAGCGGGUAAGAGCUUUUUUGGCCCCCACUACUUCUGAUACAAAUAAGCCAAUUGAACCCUUUUAAAAAUAGCUGUUGGCCUUGUUUGUUAUUAAAUGUUCUUUAAAUAUUAAACGUUAUUAAAUGCCUCAAAUCACCCCAAAGGCUUUCCUCUGUUUCCCUACUCCACAUCUUUUUCCCACGAAAACCUAAGCCUGGAUAUUUUUUUUUAAGAAGAGCAACCAAUAAACAGAGCACGGGAGCACUAGCAACGGGAAAGGAUCGUUACCAAAUUAGAAGAUGAAAAAUGAAGGAAAACAAUGACGGAGGAGGCCUACAAGUCCUGGAGCUGAUGUAGAAAUCCUGUAAAUCCAAGGAUUGCUUUUCGCCUUCAGGAUACGCUUUCAAAUUCAGCCAAAGCUGUCACUAAUAAUUAAGGUAAUAAUUCUUGCGUGCUCCCCCCUAUAUACAUUCAAGAUUACAUCAUUUCAGCAUGAGCUUUCUGCUUAAACAACGCAACUUUAUCUGCAGAGUAUUUCAGUGGGUGGUGAAGUGAUUCAGUCGCUCUCUGCAUUUCCCUCACAGGGCCUCCCCUCCCAGAGUUCCACAAUCAGCUUGGCUUUGGUGCCGAGUUCAGAUUUUCUUCUGAUCAUCACUUGGUGCAGCAAGAAAGGAACAAGCAGUGAGGAUCUCCACAUCACCACCCUGCGCCCUGACAGCAGCAGAAGCACCCGUGUGUCCCUCACACAGCACAGGCUCAGUGGGAUGGCACCACUCCAAGCCUCAGCUUUACCAGGUUUGACCCCAGCCCACCAUUAAGGCUGUUACAAAGGUUAAGCCUCUACUUUUUCUUCCUUAGCAGGAAUUUUCCAUCAAGUGUUUCACCUGGAAACCUUCCUGCACCAGGACAGGAGAAAGCAAUCUGGGAUAGAGCCCAAAAAACCACAUGAGGCUCUGUAUGUAUCAGACACCCCAGUAACUUAGCUGGUUUCCCUCAGCUGUGGAGUACAGGAAAGCCAAACCAGCUGACAGCAGUGCUCCUGCUGGCACCCACAGCUCCAUCCCUCUCACACUGGCACAAGGAAGCUUUUCAUGGAGGCAUGGAGGCCUUGGUGGCCUUCAGAGCCUGCUCCUUCUUUAUUUACAGGAAGGCCUUUAGGUUUAGUCUGGGGAGGUCUACAGAUUGCAAGGGAGCUUCAGGGGAACAAUUUUUUUUCCACAAAACAUAUGUUGCAAGGCAUCCUCAAGAGAGUCUGCUUUCUGAAUCAUUUAAUCUCCCCUGGAAACUUCACUGCCCUGACUCCCUUGACUGUGGAAGCUUUAUCUUCACCUUUAAAGGCCUUUGUAAUCCACAUUGUUCCUCAACAACUCGAUUGCUUUGGAUUUGUAAAGACAAGAAGCUGGCACCUUGCAAGGCCAGGCAGGCAUCCAGUCAAGCAGCUCCGUGACAUGGCUGCCAGCCAAAUAGAUGCUCCUUCUCUUCUCACCUGUGUGUUUCCUCUGGGUCUGCUUCUCCAGCACAGCUGUUUAGCUGACUCCAAAGCAAACUGCUUCGGCACUGAGAGCAGCAGUGGGAGAGUAAUGCCAAGGGCAGAGAAGGAAAAAGCAUUACCCCUCCUGGCCUCCAUUUAAAUCCACUCAACCAUUAAACUGCAUCAUGGAAGAAGCAGAACCAAAGGACCAUAGAAUCAUUAAGGUUGACAAUGACCUCCAAGCUCAUUUAGUCCAACCGUCAGCCCAUCACCACCCUGGCCAUGUCUCUCUAUGUCACCACAUGUCACCACUAUCAUAGAUAGUGCCACAUUUAUGCAUUUCUUGAACACCUCCAGAGAUGGUGACUCCACCAGCUCCCUGGGCAGCCUGUUCCAAUGCCACACUACUCUUUCUGAGAAGACAUUUUUCCUAAUAUCCAACCUGAAAAGGAUAAUGAGAUUUGAAGAGAUUGGAAAUAGAUUUCACUGGACCAACUAAUACACUCAGAAAAGGAAGACAAGUUUUCAGGCACAAUAAAUAAAUAAAUCAAGAAGCAGUUGCUUCCAUGACAGAACAGCAUCUGGUACAAAAUGCAAGCAGUGGCAGUAUGGAAACGAGGGGGAAAAGCAUUACUGAAGAAAUCAUCCAAAGAUUCUCAUCAAAUAAAAAGAUUCUUACAUUAUCAUGAUGGGAUAACCUGGGACACUUCUGAAUUCUGCAAACCGUGCACAUGCCAUGAUGAAAUUGCUUCUGUUCUAAAACAGUCCUGCAUUAUAGCAGGAUGGGCUGAAUUUCUAGAAAGAUUUCUAGUCUUAAAUUACAGUGUAGAUAGAACUGCAGCAUUAAGAUUUCAUUUUAAUGAAACCACCAUUAAUGUUUUACCUAACGUAAGCCAAUUUUCUGUUUCACUUAGGAAAAUGUAUCCUGUCAUACUCCGUACUUUAUUCGAUUGAACUAAGAGAAUUCUAUACCCCCCUUUCAAGGCAACUCGGUGGUGCAUUUCUAUAAUGUAACAGAUAGAACACUUGUCUUUUUUUUUUAAUAAUUACAUUAUUGUAUUUUUAUUAAGAGUGAAAUUGAGCAAGCUCUGUACUAACUUAAUUGGAAGAAACACCUUUAAAUCAGAGAGACAGGAACAUACAGCUCCACUACUUACUUCAUGGAUUAGAAGUCAUUCUCAAAUUGAGGUUACACUGGGUGGGACAGCAUUACAAGUGUUUAAAACAUGAGAACAGCAUUCUUCAUAUGGCUGUUUGCAGCUAACACAGUGGGUGGGAUUCCCAGAGGAAACUAUCAAAUACUGUUACCAUAUGUUAAAAUAACAUCAGUUGGAAGUCCCAAAAGCUAUAAUCAUUUAUAGGGCUCUGCCUGAACAACUGAAAUGCUGAGAUGCAAUUGUUUUAGUGACAAAAUCUUCACACAGCAGGCAUCAAAUGUUCACAUAAUCCAUACCAAAAAAGAAGUGAAAAAGGCUUUAUAACAAGUAGAAAACAAAAAUAAAGGUAAACUGAAGAAUGAAAACAACUACAAUGCACAGUACUUUUGAAAAUUACAUUCUGACUAUCUUUUCCAAGGAGCUAUCAGGCUUUUACCCUAUUCCUCCAUUCAUAUCUUUAGAGACUGGACAUGCGUGGAAUGCACCAUGUUUUAUCUAAAAGUGCUUCUAACACCAGAACUUUGAUCUCUCUGACCUGAAGUGGGAAUAACAGAACUUCAGCAUUCUGCAAAAUAUCAUUAACUGGCACACUUGCAAUAACAAAUGUGUAAGUGUACUGCAGCUCUGAAUGACUCAAGAGGUUAUACAAAUGUGAGGCCAGGUUUGAGGACUGCCAUAUGGAAUCAAGUUUUUUAUGAAGAAAAACAUGCAAGAAAGGUGUUUCUUAUAGUAGCUACAUCAUACAUUAACUAUGAAGUUAAAUGAAGUGCUGUAUAUCUGUAUUUAAGAUGCCAUCUAUGGAUAUUAUUCAGUCUGGAGUCCUGAAAAAGAUUUCCCUUUAAGUACAGCAUUUGGUUAAGUUACAGAGUACAUACACAAAAACAGCACUUGAUCUUGACAGCUUUGUCACAUGUGCUGAGGCACUGUCCCUGCCCAUUAGGCAUAUGAGAACUGGAUAGAGGUAGGCAUCACAAGCCACAACGAAACACCCACUGUGCAUGCACUUGCUUCCAUGAACCCUACUACCACCUGCCUCAGCUUGUACAGAAGGCAAACCUCUGUGGAUUAUGGCAAGGGAGGAAGAAACCAGGAGGCAGGAUCAACUAAACCACGGUGCCUUCAAUCUGAUGGGGGUGGUGGUCAGCCAUCUUUAAAGCUGCUGGUCAUCUAUCAGAAGCCACCAACACUCAGUGAGUGAGAUGGUUUUCGGUAUGAUAAAAGAGGGCUACAUGCCACAAACAGACAUUCCUCUGGGAAAACAGCUGAUUUGAAAACCUGGGAAAGAUAUUCAACUGCAAAGUGAUAGGGCUCAGAGCCUGGGUGAACAAGAGACAACAGCCUCGAGUCACAGGAGAAAACAGCCAACUUCCAUAAAUAGUUCCACUUCUAGUGGAGUCUGACUGGUUUGCUGUGCCCUGGGGCUGCCCUCUGCUUCUGUGUAAUGCAGGAUAUGCCAGAAGCCACACACGUUUCCCAGACUUUGUGCCAAUAUUCCUAAUACACAGGCAGCCUUCAGACCCCCUGAAUUGUGAUCACAGAACCCUAAAUCACAGGCAAUCAUACAGGCAUCAGAUUCCCACUGCAAAUCACACUCUACUCCCUUUUCCCAUGAAGGAACUAGAAAGCAGAAAUUGGCCAGUAAGUCUGAAAGCUGGAUGGUAAUUUCUACUAAUGACCAAAUAUCUGACUGGCCACCCCUCCAGCCUUCUGGGGACAUUCAAGCUGACCAGAAAACUGCUGGACCAUCAGAAACUUCUCUGGGCAAAAAGAAGGGUAGGUGAGCACAAAAGCACCAUUCAAAGGAGUGAAUUAUCCUACUGACCGCGGCAAGAGAAUCAUACAAAAAAA
ensembl:lncRNA